rnacentral:rRNA from 1 species
GACGAACGCUGGCGGCGUGCCUAAUACAUGCAAGUCGAACGAAGCUGUUUUAACUGGUGCUUGCACCGACUUAAACAACUGAGUGGCGAACGGGUGAGUAACACGUGGGUAACCUGCCCCAAAGCGGGGGAUAACAUUUGGAAACAGAUGCUAAUACCGCAUAAUCACAGAAACCACAUGGUUUCUGUGUCAAAGAUGGUUUCGGCUAUCACUUUGGGAUGGACCCGCGGCGUAUUAGCUAGUUGGUAAGGUAAUGGCUUACCAAGGCAAUGAUACGCAGCUGAACUGAGAGGUUGAUCGGCCACAUUGGGACUGAGACACGGCCCAAACUCCUACGGGAGGCAGCAGUAGGGAAUCUUCCACAAUGGACGAAAGUCUGAUGGAGCAACGCCGCGUGAGUGAAGAAGGUUUUCGGAUCGUAAAACUCUGUUGUCAGAGAAGAACGUGUGCGAGAGUAACUGUUCGUGCAGUGACGGUAUCUGGCCAGAAAGCCACGGCUAACUACGUGCCAGCAGCCGCAGUAA